CCUACUGGAGGCAGCAGUGGGGAAUAUUGGACAAUGGGGGCAACCCUGAUCCAGCCAUGCCGCGUGUGUGAAGAAGGCCCUCGGGUUGUAAAGCACUUUCAGUGAGGAAGAACGCCUGGUGGUUAAUACCCAUCAGGAAAGACAUCACUCACAGAAGAAGCACCGGCUAACUCCGUGCCAGCAGCCGCGGUAAUACGGAGGGUGCGAGCGUUAAUCGGAAUUACUGGGCGUAAAGCGCGCGUAGGUGGCUUGAUAAGCCGGUUGUGAAAGCCCCGGGCUCAACCUGGGAACGGCAUCCGGAACUGUCAAGCUAGAGUGCAGGAGAGGAAGGUAGAAUUCCCGGUGUAGCGGUGAAAUGCGUAGAGAUCGGGAGGAAUACCAGUGGCGAAGGCGGCCUUCUGGACUGACACUGACACUGAGGUGCGAAAGCGUGGGUAGCAAACAGGAUUAGAUACCCCUGUAGUC
rnacentral:rRNA from 1 species